UUUGGAAAGAGUGAUAAAAGAAUCAUAAGAGACACAUUUCACACAACCAUGCAUACAGUCUUUCUCCUCACUGACCUGUGCCUGUUACCGAACCUUGAACAUUUUACUUUACCACAAGGUCACCUUAGGAUUCCUUUAAUACUUAUUGCUUGUGGCUGAGGACAGAGAGUUCUGCUCAGACGCAGGUCAGGGGAGCACACAGACCGUGUCCGGAGAAAAUGGUAAGUUAAUAAUGGCUAGUAAUCCCUGUAGUAGAUUGUACUGGUAAUCAAGCUACUCUCCUUCCCUGCUUUGCUCUCGCGUUCCCCGAACAAGCAGGUCUCCUUGCCUGCGGUUUGCUGGGUGGUUCGGGGAACGCGAGAGCAAACCGCGGCGAAGCUGGUCUCCUUCCCUGCUUUGCUCUCGCGUUCCCCCAACAAGCAGGAUGAAUCCGCCCUGUUACAAUGGAGACUUUUCUAAAAACCACCUCAUGGGUCACUGUUUUAGGAAAGGU